UGAAUGGGGCAACCCGGCUACUUGAAGAGUAGUCAUCCUUUCGAGGAAGUGAACCCGGAGAACUGAAACAUCUAAGUACCCGGAGGAAGAGAAAACAAUUAGUGAUUCCGUUAGUAGUGGCGAGCGGACGCGGAAUAGCCCAAACCACAUUGGUUACGGCCAGUGUGGGGUUGUAGGACUGCGACAUUUUAACAAAAACGAACUGGAACGACUUGGGAAAGUCGACCGAAGAGGGUGAGAGUCCCGUACAGGAAAGGUCGUGAGCGAUAGCAGUAUCCUGAGUAGGGCGGGGCAGGUGAAACCCCGUCUGAAUCUACCGGCACCUUCCGG
rnacentral:rRNA from 1 species